rnacentral:lncRNA from 1 species
CUGGUAUCUCUUGCUUCCCUUGUAUUUGGUCAGUUUUUGCUCCUGUCUCAACUUCAUUCACCCUAACUUCUUCAAUUACCUCAGUUCCUCCAUUGGUUGGUUUCAAUUGAGUACUUGAACUUUCAAUCUCCCGUGUACUUGUUCCUAUUCCUCUUAUCAAGCUCGGUUACUGUUCCAUUGAUUUUUCCACCACUAUUUCCUUUACUGUCUGAUUUUUCUCCACUUCGUUCUCUUUUUGGCCAUUAUCUCCUUCCUUUAGAUCUACUUCCCUCAGAUCUACCUUGAUUGCAUUCCGGUGAGGUCGUCCUCGCGGCAUUUCCGAUGAGUUUGGCGUAUGAUAGCAAACGCACGCUAUCCUACUCCUCAGAACCUAUUGAG